AAAUAUGGAGGGCAUAGUUAUAAUAAACUUGUCUUGACCACAUACAUCUAUUUUUCUCUCUUUUCUUGCUUUCAUGGUCUCAGCGAGAGCCAAUACAGCUGGUCUGUCAGUGACAUGUCAGACUGGCAUUUGUGAACAGGGACAUCAAAGACUUCCCAGACCUUGCACUCAGGCUGCCAGUUCUCCAGAGACCACCCCUGGCCCGGGACAAUUUGACAGAUACACAGCACAGCAAGAAGGUGUGAUGAUGCUUGCUUGGUGGAGAAAAACAUGGCAAACCAUUCCACUAUCUACUCCAGCAUCUUUGCCAAGAAGACCCCAAAGGGAAUGAUGAAAAGUCAGACAAGAAUCAAAACAACUGAAAGCUGAAACUAUACAGAAACUAUUGAAUUAUGGUUUGGCUUACACCUGUCGGAUUGGCUAAGAUGACAGGAAAAGAUAAGGAAGAAUGUUGGAGAGGAUGUGGGAAAACUGGGACACUGAU